GCUUACGGCCACACCACCCUGAGCGCGCCCGAUCUCGUCUGAUCUCGGAAGCUAGCAGGGUCGGGCCUGGUUAGUACUUGGAUGGGAGACCGCCUGGGAAUACCAGGUGCCGUAAGCU
rnacentral:rRNA from 1 species